rnacentral:rRNA from 1 species
GGCAGCAGUGGGGAAUCUUCCGCAAUGGGCGCAAGCCUGACGGAGCAACGCCGCGUGAGUGAAGAAGGCCUUCGGGUUGUAAAACUCUGUCAUCAGGGAAGAAGAAAGUGACGGUACCUGAGGAGGAAGCCCCGGCUAACUACGUGCCAGCAGCCGCGGUAAAACGUAGGGGGCGAGCGUUGUCCGGAAUUACUGGGCGUAAAGGGCGCGUAGGCGGUUAUCCAAGUCAGGGGUGAAAACCUUGGGCUCAACUCAGGGCCUGCCUCUGAAACUGGGUAACUUGAGGGCAGGAGAGGGGAGUGGAAUUCCCAGUGUAGCGGUGAAAUGCGUAGAUAUUGGGAGGAACACCAGUGGCGAAGGCGGCUCUCUGGCCUAACCCUGACGCUGAGGCGCGAAAGCGUGGGGAUCAAACAGGAUUAGAUACCCUGGUAGUCCACGCCGUAAACGAUGAG